rnacentral:rRNA from 1 species
ACGCACGCUGGCGGCGUGCCUCAUCCAUGCAAGUCGAGCGGACGAAUCGAAAGCUUGCUUUUGAUUCGUUAGCGGCGGACGGGUGAGUAACACGUGGGCAACCUGCCCUGUAGACGGGGAUAACACCGAGAAAUCGGUGCUAAUACCGGAUAACACGAAAUGUCGCAUGACGUUUCGUUGAAAGACGGCGCAAGCUGUCGCUACAGGAUGGGCCCGCGGCGCAUUAGCUAGUUGGUGAGGUAACGGCUCACCAAGGCGACGAUGCGUAGCCGACCUGAGAGGGUGAUCGGCCACACUGGGACUGAGACACGGCCCAGACUCCUACGGGAGGCAGCAGUAGGGAAUCUUCCGCAAUGGACGAAAGUCUGACGGAGCAACGCCGCGUGAGCGAAGAAGGCCUUCGGGUCGUAAAGCUCUGUUGUUAGGGAAGAACAAGUAACGCAGUAACUGGCGUUACCGUGACGGUACCUAACGAGAAAGCCACGGCUAACUACGUG